rnacentral:rRNA from 1 species
AUUGAACGCUGGCGGAAUGCUUUACACAUGCAAGUCGAACGGUAGAGGGGGCAACCCCUCGAGAGUGGCGAACGGGUGAGUAAUAUAUCGGAACGUGCCCAGUCGUGGGGGAUAACGUAGCGAAAGUUACGCUAAUACCGCAUACGAUCUAAGGAUGAAAGCGGGGGAUCGCAAGACCUCGCGCGAUUGGAGCGGCCGAUAUCAGAUUAGGUAGUUGGUGGGGUAAGGCUCACCAAGCCAACGAUCUGUAGCUGGUCUGAGAGGACGACCAGCCACACUGGAACUGAGACACGGUCCAGACUCCUACGGGAGGCAGCAGUGGGGAAUUUUGGACAAUGGACGCAAGUCUGAUCCAGCCAUUCCGCGUGCAGGAUGAAGGCCCUCAGGUCGUAAACUGCUUUUGUACGGAACGAAAAGGUCUCUCUUAAUACGGGGGACUCAUGACGGUACCGUAAGAAUAAGCACCGGCUAACUACGUGCCAGCCGCCGCAGUAA